CCAAGCCUGAUGACUUCUUCAUUCACACCUUUAUCCACGUGAGGUAAGAUCGCGGAUCUCACUGUUUUUGCCAACGGGUUCCAACCUGAUACGUGUACUCAUGAUGAACACACCCAGCUCGCUUCCAGCUUCGGCGAUGCAGAAAGUUUCCCUGUUAGCCUGAAAUAAGCGUGCCACCACCGUUGGAAGACUGCUUACAAUCGGCUCACACCGUGUGGCAUUUGCAGACUUUCUGGGGCUAUGAGCUGCUGAAGUCUUUCUGGACCAGGAAAUACUCUGAAGCCCGUGCUCCAGAGCGCCUGUUCGUUAUCGGUUCUCCGCCCAGUAUCUUUGUGGGAGUAUCUGGCGCGUGCUGUGCACCACUGCCAGUCCCGGACAGCAGUCGGGCCGCAGGCGGUCGGCCCAGGUGUCAUUGGUUUGACCAACGGGUCAGAAAAAAAUCGUCUGAUCCAACUGAAAAGGCCCGAGAUCGGCUACAUCUACUGAACGAUGAUCAACUCGUCUCCACAGGCCACCGCGCCGCGGCCGGACGCCGUCUGCGCUCCCUCCGCACGGGAUGGCCCUGCUCUCACAUCGCCGGUGCUCGCUGGGCGUCCUGCCGUCAGGUCUGGACCUUGACCUGCCACGUUUCCAGUGACCCGGGGUCACUUGGUAGCACUCCCGGCCCGCUGGAAGCUGGGAGCCUGGAUGCACGAGCUAGGGUGACUUAGAACGUGACUCCAAGGCGCACAGACCAGACGGUGCAGGCGGCAAGAUCCUGCUGCUGAUCCGACACGUCCUGAGCCCUUGGUGACGCCGGACGCGACCCUGGCGCCUGCCUCCCGCCUAGGAAGGGACGACUCAGGUGCUGAGGACUCUUCUGGACUGAGGACUGAGGGACGACUGCUGCUGAGCAAUGAGGCGGCCACAUCUGGCGAGGAACACGACCGAGCGUGACUGGAUGCCGCGGGACAGGGGACAGCACUGCUGCGGGAUGGUAAGAUUGUGUGGCUCUUGGAAAUAAUAAAAGGCAAGUUGCCCUAAACAUUUAAAAGCUACUUAAGAUUAUUAACACCUUAAGAUAACUGGUAACAGGCCUUUCACCAUUAACUGCUAUCGUUCGAAGUGUUAUUUCCGGGCAGCUUUUAGCGUGUGAUUGGUGCGGAGCCGGCCCAGGGCCUGUGUCCGUAUGUUUGUUCUCAGGUUAUGAAAAAUACACAUGUGAGCUGAGACGUUGUUUACGGCCAUAUACAGCAUUCUGUGGAUGCUGCGGACGGCUGAGCACACGCGCCGCC